GACGUAGGGCGCGAGCGUUGUCCGGAUUUAUUGGGCGUAAAGAGCUCGUAGGCGGCUUGUCGCGUCGACCGUGAAAACUCGCAGCUCAACUGCGAGCCUGCGGUCGAUACGGGCAGGCUAGAGUUCGGUAGGGGAGACUGGAAUUCCUGGUGUAGCGGUGAAAUGCGCAGAUAUCAGGAGGAACACCGAUGGCGAAGGCAGCACUCUGGGACGUGACUGACGCUGAGACGCGAAAGCGUGGGGAGCAAACAGG
rnacentral:rRNA from 1 species